GACGUAGGGGGCGAGCGUUGUCCGGAUUCAUUGGGCGUAAAGCGCGCGUAGGCGGCCCGGUAAGUCGGAUGUGAAAUCUCACGGCUCAACCGUGGAACUGCAUUCGAUACUGUCGGGCUAGAGGCAGGUAGGGGAGAUCGGAAUUCCCGGUGUAGCGGUGAAAUGCGCAGAUAUCAGGAGGAACACCGGUGGCGAAGGCGGUUCUCUGGGCAUUACCUGACGCUGAGGAGCGAAAGUGUGGGGAGCGAACAGG
rnacentral:rRNA from 1 species